rnacentral:lncRNA from 1 species
CAAUACUGUACAUCUUAGGGUCAAGGCCAUAUAGAAAAGAGAUUUGGAGAUCGCUGAAACAGACGUUCAUAUGUAAAAGAGUAUUUCGGAGUUCUUCUCUAUCAGAAAUGCAAACAGUUAGUCAACAAACUGACAAUGGAAGAGCAAUAGAGAUAGUUGUUGAGAAAACCAUGUAAUGUCGCACCAUUGUGUCUUGAGAUCAACGCUCGUCUUUCAUAUCAUGCCUAGCUACUCACCGGUGAUUUGUUAUACAAUAAAUCAAGAUAAUGCAGACAAAACCGUUG